GGUGGUGGUUUAAGUCCGUUGUGAAAGCCCUGGGCUCAACCUGGGAAUUGCAGUGGAUACUGGGUCACUAGAGUGUGGUAGAGGAUAGUGGAAUUUCCGGUGUAGCAGUGAAAUGCGUAGAGAUCGGAAGGAACAUCUGUGGCGAAGGCGACUAUCUGGGCCAACACUGACACUGAGGCACGAAAGCGUGGGGAGCAAACAGGAUUAGAUACCCUGGUAGUCCACGCCCUAAACGAUGCGAACUGGAUGUUGGGUUCAACUUGGAACCCAGUAUCGAAGCUAACGCGUUAAGUUCGCCGCCUGGGGAGUACGGUCGCAAGACUGAAACUCA
rnacentral:rRNA from 1 species